rnacentral:misc_RNA from 1 species
UCCGAGUUGACCCCGGCAGUCUUCUACGAGUCCCCGGCAUAAUCCGCUGGCAACAUAGAAUAAGGGUUGCGCUCGUUGCGGGACUUAACCCAACAUCUCACGACACGAGCUGACGACAGCCAUGCAGCACCUGUGUUCCGAUUCCCUUUCGGGCACUCCCGGCUCUCACCAGGAUUCCGGACAUGUCAAGGGUAGGUAAGGUUGUUCGCGUUGCAUCGAAUUAAUCCACAUCAUCCACCGCUUGUGCGGGUCCCCGUCAAUUCCUUUCAGUUUUAACCUUGCGGCCGUACUCCCCAGGCGGUCAACUUCACGCGUUAGCUACGGUACCAAGGAAUCACUUCCCCAACACCCAGUUGACAUCGUUUAGGGCGUGGACUAC